ACUGAUUUAAUACUUAUGUAUAAAGUAAAGCAUAUCAAUGUAACCAAAUUGAUAAUGAUUGCCCAUGAUUCAGUACUUUCGCACAUGCAUAGAAUACUGAUAUUUAGUUUCAUUGAAAUUAAUUGUUAUGAAAGUAUCGAAAACAUUGUGAUUUAAGGAUUGUUGCUUCAGUAUAGUUCUUUUUUUUUCAAAACGUUUCACCAAAUCACCAACUUAUGUUUUAUGUAUUUUAUUGGCCUUGGGCAUCCCUAUAAAGACAUUAAAUUAUGGUAAUGUUUAGUACUUUUGUCUUUCGUUUUUUGCUCAUGUGCUUUGUUUAUAUGCCUUUUGUUUUUUUUCAGUUGACACGUUUGUAUAGUAAUUAAGUAUACAACACACUGAAAGUCCAAUAAAACAUGUUUUCAAGAAAUACAAUGAGAAAUCAAAUUAAAUUUGUUGCUUACACAUAGACAAAAUUAGUGACUGAACAGCAGUCAUGUAUAUAAGUAUGUUUACAUUAACACAAAAUAAACAAGAGUUACGCUUUGGGUGUAUUUAACGACUCAUUGUGUAUAUCAAUGUGUGUGCAUAGGCCUUUUUUCAAUUUCAAAUGAAUAGUUAUAUUUCAAUAAUAAAACCUCUCGGCCUAACAAUUUCUCCUUCAAGCAAUUGAUUCUAGAGCAUAUCUGUAAUAAAUGUAUGAUUUGUAUUACAUGGAUAUGACGAUAUAAAUAAAAUUAUAUUGCGCAUAACCU
rnacentral:lncRNA from 1 species